AUAGUAAAUAGAAUUAAAGCAAGACUUGGGGGUGGCGGUGGCGGUUCACGUCUGGCGAGGCUCAAAAAAAUCCUGGGAUUAUUAAACAAGCUCCGUGGUAUGGGUGCAGGUGGAGCUGCUGCCCCUGCGGCUGAACCUGCCCCUGCGGCUGAAGCUGCACCUGCGGCUGAAGCUGCACCUGCGGCUGCACAUGCAGCUGCACCUGCGGCUGCACCCUAAUUACUUUAAGAAUUUAUGACUCGUAAACUAAAAGGAAAAUAACUUUUUUACUAUGUUUUAUGUAAUAAAUUGUUUCUGUAGUAAAAAAAUAAAAAUAUUAUGUGUAAUGUUUAAUUUGCUUAGAAUUAUAAAAGACUGAUACAUAGUUGACUG
rnacentral:lncRNA from 1 species